rnacentral:rRNA from 1 species
UAGAGUUUGAUCCUGGCUCAGAAUCAACGCUGGCGGCGUGCCUAACACAUGCAAGUCGAACGCGAAAGCCCCGCAAGGGGUAAGUAGAGUGGCAAACGGGUGAGUAACGCGUGGGUGACCUGCCUUCGAGCGGGGGAUAACGUCCCGAAAGGGACGCUAAUACCGCAUAACAUCCUGCCUUUGAAAAGGUGGAGAUCAAAGCCGGGGAUCGCAAGACCUGGCACUCGAAGAGGGGCUCGCGUCUGAUUAGCUAGUUGGUGGGGUAAUGGCCUACCAAGGCGACGAUCAGUAUCCGGCCUGAGAGGGCGGACGGACACACUGGGACUGAGACACGGCCCAGACUCCUACGGGAGGCAGCAGUGGGGAAUUGUUCGCAAUGGGCGCAAGCCUGACGACGCAACGCCGCGUGGAGGAUGAAGAUCUUCGGGUCGUAAACUCCUGUCGAAUGGGACGAACGGAUUGCGGGUUAACAGCCCGCGAUCGUGACGGUACCGUUAAAGGAAACCCCGGCUAACUCCGUGCCAGCAGCCGCGGUAAUACGGGGGGGGUAAGCGUUGUUCGGAAUUACUGGGCGUAAAGGGCUCGUAGGCGGCCAACUAAGUCAGACGUGAAAUCCCUCAGCUUAACUGGGGAACUGCGUCUGAUACUGGAUGGCUUGGAUCCGGGAGAGGGAUGCGGAAUUCCAGGUGUAGCGGUGAAAUGCGUAGAUAUCUGGAGGAACACCGGUGGCGAAGGCGGCAUCCUGGACCGGUAUUGACGCUGAGGAGCGAAAGCCAGGGGAGCAAACGGGAUUAGAUACCCCGGUAGUCCUGGCCCUAAACGAUG